AGAGUUUGAUCCUGGCUCAGGAUGAACGCUAGCGACAGGCUUAACACAUGCAAGUCGAGGGGCAGCGGGGAGUAGCAAUACUUCGCCGGCGACCGGCGCACGGGUGAGUAACACGUGUGCAACCAACCCCGUACCGGGAGAUAACCCGCGGAAACGUGGACUAACAUCCCAUGAUACUCGAGAGCCGCAUGGCUCUCGAUUUAAAAUUCCGGUGGUACGGGACGGGCACGCGCGACAUUAGGUAGUUGGCGGGGUAACGGCCCACCAAGCCGACGAUGUCUAGGGGUUCUGAGAGGAAGGUCCCCCACACUGGAACUGAGACACGGUCCAGACUCCUACGGGAGGCAGCAGUGAGGAAUAUUGGUCAAUGGGCGAGAGCCUGAACCAGCCAAGUCGCGUGAGGGAAGAAUGGUCUAUGGCCUGUAAACCUCUUUUGUCAGGGAAGAAUAAGGAUGACGAGUCAUUCGAUGCCAGUACUUGACGAAUAAGCAUCGGCUAACUCCGUGCCAGCAGCCGCGGUAAUACGGGGGAUGCGAGCGUUAUCCGGAUUUAUUGGGUUUAAAGGGCGCGUAGGCGGGACGUCAAGUCAGCGGUAAAAGACUGCAGCUAAACUGUAGCACGCCGUUGAAACUGGCGCCCUGGAGACGAGACGAGGGAGGCGGAACAAGUGAAGUAGCGGUGAAAUGCAUAGAUAUCACUUGGAACCCCGAUAGCGAAGGCAGCUUCCCAGGCUCGUUCUGACGCUGAUGCGCGAGAGCGUGGGUAGCGAACAGGAUUAGAUACCCUGGUAGUCCACGCCGUAAACGAUGCUCACUGGAUCUUGGCGAUACACGGCCAGGGUUCAAGCGAAAGUAUUAAGUGAGCCACCUGGGGAGUACGUCGGCAACGAUGAAACUCAAAGGAAUUGACGGGGGCCCGCACAAGCGGAGGAACAUGUGGUUUAAUUCGAUGAUACGCGAGGAACCUUA
rnacentral:rRNA from 1 species